AUCCCGACUUCCUCAUCCGGGCUGUGGCUGCCCCUCAUGAGGGAAAUUACAGCUGCUAUGAGUUUCACAGUCAACACCCUUACGCCUGGUCGCUCCCCAGCGCCCCCCUGGAGCUCAGGGUCACAGAUGCUACCUCCCAGGAUUACACCAAGGGCAAUCUCAUCCGCCUCAGCCUAGCUGGGCUCAUCCUCCUCAUCCUGGGAGUCCUGCUGGCAGAUGCCUGGCACACUGGAAGGAGGUACCAAGGAGCAGUCCUGGCCUGAUAAAGCAGGAGGGCAAAGCUGGAGGCUGGGGCACAGGUGGACCCUUACAAGUCACUGAGUAUCUGGGACCAGUUCUGCCUAGCCUGGAGAGAGGAAGGGCCAGCACAUCAAUUCUAUGUGCCCUGGAGCCUGGCUCUGACUUUCCUUCCUGGUAACCCAGCCCUCCCCCUUCCUCUGCUUUCCUCCUCCCCCUCUGCUUCCUCCUCCUCUUUCUCCCCCUCUUCUCCUCCUUGAUCCCUACCAUCAGUUAUGAAUCUUUAAGACAAAGAGAGCAGAUUAAAAACCAGAAUCCUACUAAAUGUUGUUUACAAAAAAUACAUUUGAGACAGGGAGACACACACAGAGUAAAAGUAAGAGGAUGGAGCAAAAUAUAUUGUGCAUCAUCUAAAGUAAAACAAAACCCAAAAAACGAGGAGUAGUAAUGAUGAUCUCAGAAAACAGAGAGACAAGCAUUUCCCAAGAAGACAGAAUCUGUCCCUGAAACACAGUUACCACCUGCCCUUGGACCUCAUUCUCUUAGCCCUGGGUUCAAGUCCACUACUGGCUUUUCUGAGUCUAAGGGCUUUGCACCUCUUCUCAGAUAGCAGGAAAAAGGACAAACAGGCUCCUAGCUGUCUUCUCCACUGUGGUGGAAGAAGCCCUCCUAGAUUGUAGCUUUCAGCUACCUCAACUCAUGAACUUUAGACUUCUGAUCCUGGACCCAGCAGCCACUCAUGGGGAGUGUGCUCUAGCUGGGAUGAAGGGGAACUCCUAGCAGAGAACAAGUCCCAGAAUCCUAGAAUGUAAGACUUUUAGAGAUGAGUGGCACUCCAGGGUCUAUCUGGUCUGAUAUGAAGCUAAAAACAUGAUCCCCUGCAUACACUAGACAAAUGGUCAUCCAGUCCCUUCUAAUUACUUCCAGGGGUGGGGAACACCCUCCCUCAAUUCUUCACAAUUCUAAUGGUCAAUGGGGUUCUUUCUGAAGUCCUACCUGAAUUUGUCUUUUUCUAAUUCCUACCCAAUGCUACUUGGACCAAGUGGAGCCUCUCUUUCAUGUGUCCAAGUCUUUAGAGAUUUGGACACAGUUAUGUUCCCUUGUUUCCUCUUCUGAAAGCUAACCACAUCCAGUUUCUCCCACUUGUCCCCAAUAUGGCAUGAGUUCAAGACCCUUCACUGAUCUUGUUGUCUUUCUUUGGCCUCUCUUCAGUUAACUGAUAUUUUUCCAAAAUUGUUGAGCUCAGAACUCACCACAUGCUCUCCAGGUGGUCUGAUGAGGAAGAAAAUGGACCUCCAAUGGCUUCCUCAGGCCUGGAAGCCAUGUCUUUUUUAAAAGAAUCAGAAUUGGAAAAACUUCCAUAAACAAACACAUUUCUGAACAUGGAGGGAAAUCUGUGAAACUGUCAAGGUACUGCAGAUAGUUUGUUUUAUUUGAAAAUCCAUUAAAUUUUAUCAAUUGCCUUAUUACUAUGUACAUAAAUUAAUUUGUAUUCAAUUCAUGAAUUGUUAUGAAUUAAUAUACAUUCAAUUUUAUGUUUAGAGCCAAUAGUGACCUGUUGUUCCUUCUUGGACUUCCUACAGGUUUCUUCUGGGUAUUAAAAUAAAUGAAAUGCUUCUUUGA